UGCAGCUCACAGCAACAGAGUUUAGACCCGUCUUUGCUUCAUCAUCUGAAGGUAAAAAAUUUUCCAGCCUCCGCCGGCGGCUCGCAGAGUACAAUAAACAGGGACGCAGAACUGUUUGCAUGGACCUCGCUCGCUCAUGAUGCGGUGGAGAAGCCGCGGCCACUCGGUGCUGCCGGAUGCUCUCGGGGCCACUGUCCAUGGGGAGGACGAGCAGAGCUGAACAAGGAAGGCUUCCAAAUCUCACUUUCUACUCCAUCACCGUCUGUGCUUAUCGGGAAGAUACAUUUCAAGCUACUCACCCUCCAACAACUUACCAACAACUCGAAAUAUAGCCGAUCUCAGAAUUUAAAAAGGACGAAGGGAAGGAAAACGCCAUCCUGCUCAGAUACAAAGAUCGGAGAGGCAAUCGUGUUUCCCAGCAUCCUCCAGAGCUGUGAGCAUCAGAACCAAUAUUUUCCCAAAGAGUGCCAUCCUAUUGAAGUCACUUUAUUAAGGAGAGGUGUGUCUGCAAAACAGUCCAGAGACUAGAACCCUGGGAGCCAGAGAUGACAGUGAGCACACUUUGCUUGAGGCUUGAUGUCGUCCAGUGGUGCCUACUGAUCUGUGAAUGACCACCUACUAAUACGUCCUCUCAUCCCUCUUUCCUGGAUUAGACUUCUGUAAGGAAUUCAUUGCCUUCAGACUUACAUGCAGGAGUUUUUACAGGAGUAGUUUUGGGAUCAUUGAGCCUUGGGUUGAUUCCAUCACUUAACAGAAAGGGACAGAACCCAGAGUAGCUCUCAUCAUGGCCUUGAACGUUGCCCCAGUGAGAGACACAAAGUGGCUGACACUGGAAGUCUGCAGGCAGUACCAGAGAGGAACGUGCUCUCGCUCUGAUGAAGAAUGCAAAUUCGCUCACCCCCCCAAAAGUUGCCAGGUUGAAAAUGGAAGAGUAAUUGCCUGCUUUGACUCCCUCAAGGGUCGCUGUUCAAGAGAGAACUGCAAGUACCUUCACCCUCCGACACACUUAAAAACUCAACUAGAAAUUAACGGGAGGAACAACUUGAUCCAGCAAAAGACUGCAGCGGCGAUGCUAGCCCAGCAGAUGCAAUUUAUGUUUCCAGGAACACCACUCCAUCCUGUGCCCACUUUUCCUGUAGGUCCCACCAUAGGGACAAACACAGCUAUUAGCUUUGCUCCUUACUUAGCGCCCGUCACCCCUGGAGUUGGGUUAGUCCCGACAGAGAUUCUACCCACCACACCUGUCAUUGUUCCCGGAAGUCCACCAGUCACUGUCCCGGGCUCAACUGCGACUCAGAAACUUCUCAGGACUGAUAAACUGGAGGUAUGCAGGGAGUUCCAGCGAGGAAACUGUGCCCGGGGAGAGACAGACUGCCGCUUUGCACACCCGGCAGACAGCACCAUGAUCGACACAAACGACAACACCGUAACCGUUUGUAUGGAUUACAUAAAGGGGCGUUGCAUGAGGGAGAAAUGCAAAUAUUUUCACCCUCCUGCACACUUGCAGGCCAAAAUCAAAGCGGCGCAGCACCAAGCCAACCAGGCCGCGGUGGCCGCCCAGGCAGCCGGCCACAGUCAUGACUCAGUCGACUGCCAAAGCACUGAAGCGACCUCUCGAAGCAACUGUAGACCUGGCUUUCCCUCCUGGUGCUCUUCACCCAUUACCAAAGAGACAAGCACUUGAAAAGAGCAACGGCGCCAGCACAGCCUUCAACCCCAGUGUCUUGCACUACCAGCAGGCUCUGACCAGUGCACAGUUGCAGCAACACACGGCGUUUAUCCCUACAGUACCCAUGGUGCACAGCGCUACGUCCGCCACUGUCUCUGCAGCAACAACUCCUGCAACAAGUGUCCCCUUCGCAGCAACAGCCACAGCCAAUCAGAUAAUUCUGAAAUAAUCAACAGAAACGGGAUGGAAUGCCAAGAAUCUGCAUUGAGAAUAACUAAACAUUGUUACUGUACAUACUAUCCUGUUUCCUCCACGAUAGAAUUGCCACAAACUGCAUGCUAAACUUAGUUCUUCUGGAGAGACCACCACCCUAAGGCUAGUUCCACUAUGUCAUAUAUGAGUAUUAAAUAUGGUAUGCUUAGUAUAUUCCAGCCUAAGAUAGAUAACUACCUGAGACCAGCUGCAAUGUUCAAAGACACAAAGGAUGAGGUUUUCUUUCCCAGGGUUGUAAGCAUAGUUUCUGUCCCUAGGAAUAUUGUCUUAUCUCCGUAACUAUAGCCGAUGCAGAAAGUACAGCCAAUAGACUCAUUUCGACUCAGAAUAUUUCAAAUUUAGCAAUAAACAGUUAGCAUUAGUUUAAGUACUUAUUCCAAGGGCAGGUUCGAUCCUAACUCCAAUCACCGUCAUUUCAUUUCCUGACUGGAUCAAAGGGUAUGGUUCACUUCUUGACAAGAUGAACGCUGCAGCAAAGACAAGAAGUGAAGUAAAACAGAUACCUGCCUGGCAGGUCUAAAAUUUGAAUGGCAGUUCAAGCACAAUUGCUGGGGACACAUCAGAGUGUGGGAUUCGGUUUGCCUGGAGAUGCCGCACUGAAUCAUGGGAUUCUAGAAUAACAUUGCAUAGAUUGAAAAAAAAAAAAAAACUUUGCACGGUAUGAGCUUCAUACCCACCCAACAAAGUCUUGAAGGUAUUAUUUUACAAGUAUAUUUUUAAAGUUGUUUUAUAAGAGAGACUUUGUAGAAGUGCCUAGAUUUUGCCAGACUUCAUCCAGCUUGACAAGAAUUGAAAGGCUCAUGCCAAUAGUUGAAUCUAAGGGAUUGGUCUUUCAAACUCGCCCUCCGGUUGCCUGUUCCCCAAUAGCUCUUCUAAACUAAAACCUAGUCCAACAGGGAAGCUGUAGGUGGGGAGGUCUGUAUAAUAUUCCAGUUUAAGUAUGUCUGAGUUUAGUCACUACAGAUGCAAACUGUGACUUUAAUCUAAAUUACUAUGUAAACAAAACAGAAGUAGAUAGUUUCACUUUUUAAAAUAUCCAUUACUGUUUUUGCAUUUCAAAAGUUGGAUUAAGGGGUUGUAACUAACUACAGCAUGGAAAAAAUAGUUCUUUUAAUUCUUUCACCUUAAAGCAUAUUUUAUGUCUCAAAAGUAUAAAAAACUUUAAUACAAGUACAUACAUAUUAUAUAUACACAUACAUAUAUAUACUAUAUAUGAAUGAAACAUAUUUUAAUGUUGUUUACUUUUUUAAAUACUUGGUUGAUCUUCAAGGUAAUAGCGAUACAAUUAAAUUUUGUUCAGAAAGUUUGUUUUAAAGUUUAUUUUAAGCACUAUCGUACCAAAUAUUUCAUAUUUCACAUUUUAUAUGUUGCACAUAGCCUACACAGUACCUACGUAGUUUUUAAAUUAUUGUUUAAGAAAUGAAACAGCUGUUAUAAAUGGAUAUUAUGUGUAAUUGUUUAAAACAUCCAUUUUUCUUUGUGGACAUUUUAGUGAUUGAAGUAUUUUGACUUUUGAGAUUGAAUGUAAAAUAUUUUAAAUUUUGGUAUCAUCGCCUGUUCUAAAAACUAGAGGCAUCAACCAUAUCAAUUUUUUGAUUGAGAAAAAAAUCUGCAUUUAAUUCAUGUUGGUCAAAGUCUAAUUGCUAUCUAUUUAUCUUACAUCAUAGACCUGAUAACUGUAACAAAAGAAAAAUCACAUUCUGAGUAUAAUCUUGCAUAGUGCUUGUAUAGUGUUUGUUUUAAUUUGUGGAGAGGUAUUGUAUCUAACUUGUAUCACUUUGAUAGUUUUCAUCUUUGUGUAUUAUUGAUCCAUGUAACUUUCUCAGUUAUAACGAUGUAGUUAUGCUACAACUUGCCUAAAACACUCAUACUUGUUUAUUUUUUUUCUUUGCUUAUUCAUUUAAACUCAUUGAGAAGACAGUAGACAUUACUAAAAGGUAAAUUAUGGGAGUCACUGAACUAUUUUUGUAGACUAAUUGUUGUAACUGUCUUUUUUUUCCUUUCAUUUCAUGAUUUUUAUUUUAAAAAUUAUUAACACAUAGAUAUUUUCAGCCCUUUAAUAAUGGAGCAUCAAAAACAUCACCUGUAUCCCCCAGCAAAUAGAGAUGACUGUAUUUUUUACUAUGAUAUCCAUUUUCCAGAAUUGUGAUUAUAAUAUGCAGAGAGUCAAAUAUGCCAUUUACAAUAAGGAGGAGGCAAGGCAAAUGCAUAGAUGUACAAAUAUAUGUACAACAGAUUUUGCUUUUUAUUUAUUUAUAAUGUAAUUUUAUAGAAUAAUUCUGGGAUUUGAGAGGAUCUAAAACUAUUUUUCUGUAUAAAUAUUAUUUGCCAAAAGUUUGUUUAUAUUCAGAAGUCUGACUAUGAUGAAUAAAUCUUAAAUGCUUUGUUUAAUUACAAAAACAAAAAAAAAAAACAAAAAAUCACCAAUAUCCAAGACAGGAAGAUGUCAGUCCAACAGCUACAGCCGUUAGGAAACUAACUUCACUUGUACAGGACUCCAUUUCACUCUUGGUUUUCAGGGUGUAACAGCACUUCACAGACGUGUUCUUUCAGUCACAUGCCACCGGUCACCUUCUGCUAAACCUUUCCGUAACACUUCUUAAAGAAUUCCCCAUUCGUUAUCUUACAGUGUAAACGGGAGUCUAAUUUGUAUCAAUUCUAUGUUUUGGUUGUAAUAUUCAGUUCACUCACCCAAUGUACAACCAAUGAAAUAAAAGAAGCAUUUAAAAGGA